rnacentral:rRNA from 1 species
CCUACGGGUGGCUGCAGUGGGGAAUAUUGGACAAUGGGGGCAACCCUGAUCCAGCCAUGCCGCGUGUGUGAAGAAGGCCCUCGGGUUGUAAAGCACUUUCAGUGAGGAAGAACGCCUGGUGGUUAAUACCCAUCAGGAAAGACAUCACUCACAGAAGAAGCACCGGCUAACUCCGUGCCAGCAGCCGCGGUAAUACGGAGGGUGCGAGCGUUAAUCGGAAUUACUGGGCGUAAAGCGCGCGUAGGUGGCUUGAUAAGCCGGUUGUGAAAGCCCCGGGCUAAACCUGGGAACGGCAUCCGGAACUGUCAAGCUAGAGUGCAGGAGAGGAAGGUAGAAUUCCCGGUGUAGCGGUGAAAUGCGUAGAGAUCGGGAGGAAUACCAGUGGCGAAGGCGGCCUUCUGGACUGACACUGACACUGAGGUGCGAAAGCGUGGGUAGCAAACAGGAUUAGAUACCCUUGUAGUC